AAAAAAAAAAAGAAGAAGCAGAGGAACAGAGCCCAAUUCUUGGUGAAAAAACAGAACAAUACCCAGUUUUUCUCCAAUUCCUUAAAAUGCUAUUGUAAUGCUCCAAAAACAGUUUUGCAAAGCUACCAGAUCUCUGAAACAGAUUGCUGCUUCAGGGGCAUAGUUGUCCAACUGAAGAUGGCCAAUGACCACGGCGUGUGAAGCGUCAAGGGAUGGCUGAAACACGUGAGCAAACCGAAAACAGAGAGCAAACGUGGCAGCGCAUGUUUGACAUUUGGCACGUGAGGGCGUAUUAAAUGUCUAUAGUAGGAUUUUGUUAUGACUUCGUAAACUCACCGUUAGGGUUGAUGAUCGAUGGGACCAAUGUUGCGGCAUUUUUCUUUUUGGUACUAUUUUCUUUCGUUAAGUUUCAAGACCUUGACAGGACGGUCGGUCACGCCGUUAGUGGUCCCCGCUUUUGUUAUAAUAGCACGGUUUACUGAUGGUCGGCUGGCGAUGGUUAAAGAGGAGUCUACUUGCGUGGUAUUGGUUAAUCAAUUUAUUGAUUUUUUAUGAAAUUAGAUUGUUCAAAAGUUAAAAGUUAUUUUAAACGUAAUGUAGUUAAUCAAGUUCUUAAUCAAUUUAUUGAUGUUCAAUUUUUAUAUUGAAAA